ACAUGGGUAGCUCAGUUGGUAGACCAUGAGGCCCUUAAUCUCAGAGUCAUGGGUUUGAGCCCCACAUUGGGCA